UUAAGUUCAGCGGGUAUCCCUACCUGAUCCGAGGUCAACCUAGAAAAAAUAAAAGGUUUUACGGCAAUGGGUUCUAACCAGACUUAUAAGACGUUUUGAUUUAACUCUACUACGCCCGAAGCCGGUUAGGCCCCGCCGAGGUCUUCGAGGCACGCCCGCCUUUCGGCGGACGGGUGCCCAAUACCAAGCAGUGCUUGAGU
rnacentral:misc_RNA from 1 species